rnacentral:tRNA from 1 species
GCAUUAGUGGUUCAAUGGUAGAAUUCUCACCUUCCACAUGGCAGGCCCAGGUACAUUUCUUGGCCAAUGCA